GCUAGAGGGCGAUCUGCGGUGGGAAACGGCAGCUCCAGUCCUGGCCUGGCCAGGGGGAGGCGACGCAGGGACCGGCUGGGCCAGGGGCAGGGGAAACACAGAGACCGGCUGGGCCAGGGGGACGGGACGCAGGGACCGGCUGGGCCAGGGGGUCGGGACACAGAGAGACCGGCUGGGCCAGGGGGUCGGGACGCAGGGACCGGCUGGGCCAGGGGGUCGGGACGCAGGGACCGGCUGGGCCAGGGGGACACAGAGAGACCGGCUGGGCCAGGGUGGGACUAUGUAGAGACUGGCUGGGCCCGCGAGGGAAUGACGCAGAGACCGGCUGGGCGUGUGGGACAACAUAGAGACUAGCUAGGCCAGGUGUGUGUGUGGUGCGGGGGCGCUCUCAGCCAUCCCCGGGACCCUCUCUGGCUCAGGGGUCUUGUCCCACGCCAGCCUGGCUGCAGGGGACUCUUGCUUUGCAGCAUAGCCGAAGGCUGAGUCUUCUGGGGGUGCCUUUAGCCCCCCCACCUUGCUCCUGAGCCUAUAUUGCCUCUACCUCUCUGACCCUGGAUGCUACUCAGCGCCAUGGGGCACCUCUAGGUUGCCGGUUCGAACCCCAUGGGGUGAGACACAUCUAGCUGGGCUCAGCUUGGCUCCGACAGUCCCUCAAUUAGGGGUCUCCGAAUCGAGGCGCAAACGGGCCACAGUCACUGACCUCCCCCCUCCCAGCUAAUUCCAUGGACCGUGGUGUCUGGGUGCUUUGCAAUCUGGAAGCGGUUUAUCCUCUCACUACCUUGUGGGGCAGGGCAGGGCCACUACCUCCAUUGGCCAGAUGGGGAAACUGAGGCACCAAGAGGCUAAAGGUCUCUCUGGCCGAACAGGGCGCUGAACCUGAGCCAGAUGACUGGACACCCACCCACGGGACACCCACCCAGCCUUCCGUGGUCCCCACUCGCUUCCCAGAGCUGGGGAGAGAACUCAGGACUCGUCAUUUGCAGGCCCCCCUGGCCUAAGCGCCCGGGAUCCCUCCCCACCCGGAGUGGGCUGAGUCUAACACAAGCCAACAGCUGGGAGUUGCCGCUGGACAAAUUCAGCCUGGAAAUAAGAUCAGUGAGUGACGUCCCAGACUGUUUGCUCACCGGGGCGGGAGCUGUUCCUGGGCCGCAUCGGGCACGAGGGGGGUGCUGAUCUCGAUAAAGGCUGCAGCAACAAAGGGAACGUCGCCACGGAGUCAAAGUCCGACUGGCUGCAUGGAUCUAAGGUGUACGUUCGCCCAGGUUCUGGGGUUCAACGUUCAGAAUGGUGUCAGGUUACCUGGUCUAAAGUACCCGUGGAUAUUCUUAUUAGCUGCAUAUAUGCUGCACCCUGCUGAAGUCUGAGCCUCACUCGGCAGCGUGGGGCAGUGAGUUCCACCCGCCAACCUGCACUGUGU